rnacentral:lncRNA from 1 species
AAAAUAUAAAAUAGAUAUAUAUAAAAUAAAUAAAAUGUUCAGUUUUUUAUUACAAUAGCAGGCCCAAAAUAGCCCAAUCCAAAUUUCCUAAUACCUAACCUAGUCAGCCCAAUACACCACCUAAUUACAUACCAGAAAUUAAAUAACCAAACCCAAAAUACAUUACAUCAAAACCCAAGCCCAAAAUACUCUAACCCAGUUUACAUGGCCCGAUUCCAAGUGAAACCCUAGCAUUCAGCAGCUUUCUGCCCUUGCGCUGUAGCCAAACCAGAUCCCCGCGUGUGCUGUGCCUCCGUGCCAAGUCCGCGCGUGUACAUCUCCAGGCUGGCCUUGUACCUGCAACAACCAAAACAAACGAAACCAAGCAGCAAAACGAAGAGAAAAACGAAAAAAGGAGUGACAAAAAGAAAAUAGGAAAAGAUGGCAGAGAAAAAUAGAUGUAUUUUGAUUUAUUUAUUUAUUUUUCUUUUCGAUUCGGCUAUAUAAGGUAAUUUCUUAACGUUUGUAAGGGUUUUUUUUUACACAUGGAGAUUGUAUCAAAAAUUCUAAAAAAAGCAAUAGAAAAAAAAGUAAUUUCUUAAAGGUGAUUUCGAGUUUCUUUUCUCUGGUUCUUUUAUAAUUUUCUGAUCCUUUUUCUUUUCUUUUUAUUUAUUGUUUGAGAAAGGGAAACGGAAGGAAAGUGAAGGAUUUUACCUUUGUUGCGAAGCUGAGUCCUCGCCCUCUUCGUCGUAAUCGGAGAUCGGGUGUGGGAUCGGAGAGCCUUCGAGCAGCUGAGUCUGAAACGGCGCAUGAAGGGGAAGGGAUUAGUUUUUUUAGGGUUGAUUUGUGAGUUUCAAAUGUCUGCUGAUUUUAGGCUUAAUUUAGCCUUUAUUUUGACUAAAGAAAUGACGUCGUUCAGAGCCUGAGCAGUGGCCAUGAUACGCCGCCGUUUAGCGACAUACCCGAUGACCCGAUCCAACCGCGGCUAGAUCCGCGCAUUUUGGUAUGGAGAGGGAUAAUUGCGGGCUAAGUCCUUCUUAUUUUGCUCUAUGUUUCAAUUCGAUCCUUUUAAUUUCUUUAAUUUUGAGCAGCAUAAUUUGUUGUUGAUUUCAUCUGGGUCCAUGUUACUGCGCAGCGUUUUGGGAAGCGGGAUAUUUCCCACUCGGCGCCCCAUAUUAUUUGCGCAUUGCACAGUGGCCCUUAUUUUGCUUAUUUAUACUAUUUCUCGAUUAAUUUCGCUUUAGUUGCAAUUUAGUCCUCUUUUUGUGUUAUUUGCUUCUUUUUGAUUAGUUUAAUAUUUUCAUUAUUAUUGUUAUUAUUAUUAUUAUUACUCAUAUUAUUAUUGAUACUAUUAUAUUUAGUUAUAUUUUUCUUUACCUAUUUUUAUAUAUAUAUUGCUAUAUACUAUUAUUUACACGAAGUUUUUUUCAUUCCAUAUGCAUAACUUAUUUAAAUUAAUAAAUAUAUUAUUUUAUGUAUUUGAUUUUCUUUUUUCAUAUAAUAUUUAUUUUAAAAUUUAUUUAGAUAUUAUUAUUUUAUGUAGUGUUUAUUUUUAACUAUAUUUUUGAUUUAUUUCAAAUUUUCACGUACAUAAAUAUUAUUUAUUUUAAAUCUAUAAUUUCCAUUCUUUCAUAUUUCUUAAAUUAUUUUAAGAGCUUGUGCAAUUUCAUUUGUGUUAAUUUGUUUGGUAUUUUGAUUGACUUUAGAUUCAUUAGUCUUUGAAUGUUAGCAUAAUAUAUGGUAUGAGAUUAUUGCUCUUAUGCGUAUUGUAUUGCUUAUAUGUAUUUAUUAAUUAUUCGUAGUUCAUUAGAAUACAUUUCGGUUCACAAAUUAUCGUUUCGUAUUGUAUAUUGUUAAUCCAUUGCGCUUUAUUCGUUCAAAAGUUUCGUUUAAUAUCAUUCAAGUAUCGAGAACAUUUUUAUUCAAAUUUUUUUCAAAAAUAACGCAAUACUCGAAAUUUGGAAUCCUCGAGAGAAUUGAGCCCUAACGUAUUGGGUUCCAAUUUUCCUCGUUGAAUCUAAAUAAUUGAAAAUUUUCUUUAAUCAAAACACAUAAAUAAAAACUCAUUCUCGGGAAUUCGAUACGUCGUGUCCUAAUGUAUUGGAUGUGACAUGUCGUUUUCUCGAAAUGAAGAUUUUAAAAAAAAUAAUAAGGGCAAUAUUCAAUGCUAGGAAUUUUGAGGAAUCGUGCCCUAACGUAUUGGGUUUCGGUUUUUCAUCUGACUUAAGAUAAUUGAAUAUCCCUUUUUAACUUCACUACAAGAGUUUUGAAAAUCAAAAGACAAGCUUAUUCUCGAGGACUAAAAAUGUCGUGUCCUAAUGUAUUGGGCAUGAAAUUUUAUUACUCUGAGACGAUAAGGUCUUUUAGCAUUCGCCUCGAUUUAUCCAAGCAUCUUUUAUAAAAUCAACAUUAAUAAAAUGGAAAGGAUCGUAUUUUAAAAUCUUUUCAAAUUCUUGACACUAAGACAUUAAACAAUCAAUUCGGUACCAAUUUUGGGCGUUAUGAGGGUGCUAACCCUUCCUUGUGCAUAACUGACUCCCGAACCUAUUUUCUCAAAAUUCGUAGACCUAAAAUCGUUUUCAAGGUGAUCUAAUCACACCUCUUUAAAAGAUCGGUGGCGACUCCAAUUUUCGUUUUUAAGUCUACUACUAAACUUUUUUGUUUUUCAAAAAAAAGGUGGUUUCGACAAUACCCUAAAGGAAAAAAAAUUAUCUAUUGACAGAUUUUAUUAAUGCAGGUUUAAGUAAUUUGCCUUCUUAUACCUGGCAAAGUGUGUGGGAUACCAAGGGUCUCCUACAGGUGGGCUUGUGCUGGCAGGUGAGUAUAAGGACUUCUAUCUCGAUAAUGGAAGAUGCUUGGGUACUGGGAAGUGUGGACUACAAAAUACAAGAUUUAAUUAGUCUAUAGGAUAUUAAGUUAGUAGCUGAUUUGAUAGAGCUUAUUAUUAAAAGAUGGAUAGUUGAUCUAAUUACCAAUACCUUUAGUUAAAGGGAUGUAGAAAGAAUUCUUCGUAUUCCAUUGGCACGAUGUCCAUACAAUGAACAUAGGGUAUGGAAAGGUAAAGCAUCGGGCGAGUACUCUGUUCGUAGUGGUUACAAGCUUCUAGUACAAUGACUCACAAAUCUUAAUGCUAGUUAUAAUUAGAACACGAGAGAGAAUCUUUAUAAGAAAAUAUGGCUACUGAAUCAACCACUAAAAAUAAAAAUUAUAACAUGGAGAAUAGCCUGUAAUUUUCUUCCUACAUUUAAUAAUCUACAUCACAAAAGGCUGAUUGGAACGACAGUUUGUACUAGAUGCAAAGAGGAAACAGAAACAACAAAACAUGUGAUGCAUGACUGUCAAAUUACAAAGGAGGUAGAAACAACAGAACAUGUGUUUCAAACUAUUGCAGACAUGGGAAAUAGAGAAUGAAUUGCCUAUAUUUUUAACAGAAUUUGAAAAAUCAGUGUAGAGUAUUUGUAUGUGCUCUAAGGGCAAUUUGGAUGGACAUAAAAAAAUGGGUGCACGAAAGUGAGAAAAAAGAUGGAUUAGUCACUAAAAACUUUAUUAAGAAUUAUCUUAAGGAGUUGGAUAAUCUAAGCAAUAAGUUACCGGAGAAGAGGGAAGUGACUGAGUAAUGGAAGACACCGAAAAACCCAUGCGUUAAGUUAAAUUUUGAUGUUGCAUAUAGAAAUCAAGAAAAGAGGUCAUGUUCUAGUAUUGUUAUUAGGGAUUCAAGAGGAUAUGUGAUAGACUCGAAAAUAGUGAUUAACGAAAACAUACUUUAGGCGUUUGCGACUAAAACGUUGGCUUGCAUCCAAGCAAUGUUGAUGGAUUUGAAUCUAGGUAUAAGGGUGAUGGAGGUCGAAGAGGAUUUACUGACUGUGGUAAAGAAGGCUCAGAUGGAUGAGGAAGAUAGAUCUGAAAUUUCGGCCUACAUAAAGGAUGCAAAGAGUUUAAGUAAAGAAUUUCAUACAACUGAAUGGAUAAAAAAGGAUGGAACAAACUUAUCUAAUGAAUGGAGU